GGCCUUAUAGUAUAAUAGUAACAUCCUUAUUUCUAAACUAAGAGGUUAUAGGUUUAACCUUUAUUAAGGCUA
rnacentral:tRNA from 1 species